rnacentral:misc_RNA from 1 species
GAAAUGCGAUAAGUAAUGUGAAUUGCAGAAUUCCGUGAAUCAUCGAAUCUUUGAACGCACAUUGCGCCCUCUGGUAUUCCGGGGGGCAUGCCUGUCCGAGCGUCAUUGCGAACCCCGCAAGCACGGCUUGUGUGAUGGGCCCUCCCGCGUCUUGGUCGUCAAGACGGGCCCGAAAUGCAGUGGCGGCUUCGCGGUUAUCCGAUCAGCCAGAGCGUAUGGGGACUUUCUCUCUGUCACACGCCCGCGGCGCGGACCGACGCCUGUCGACCUUUAUUCAUCUUUUUCUCGGUUGACCUCGGAUCAGGUAGGGAUACCCGCUGAACUUAAGC